rnacentral:lncRNA from 1 species
UGAAUGUGGAUGUGUGUCGUCUGAUUCGUCUUUGACUCCCACGGCCCCAGCAUGUGCUCUACAAAUGGGAUGCACUCUGGUUAUUGAACAGUGAGGGGUGGAGGGGGGAGAAGGAAAGCAAGGGAUGCUUGGAGAUGGUCCUCUCCGGGGCAGAUAGAGGAAGAUGGACCCUUAGUGAGACCACGCGCAGAACAGGCUGGGUGAGCCACUUCCGUCCCUG